AUUUAUUUGCAUGAUAGAGAAGUCUAGUUGGGGGAAAAAAAUCCACUGUUGCCUGAAGCAAAUCUGCCAAAAAGCCUACAUUGGAAUUUCUGUUGCUAUUGUAUAUUUUGCUUUUCUCUCUUCCCUCCCCAGCUGCCCCUUAUAUGAAUAAUACUUGGCACUUUGAAUCUUCAGAGAGAACUGUGUGCUUUGCCCCUGUGAAGUGGCUUAGUUUAUCUGUAUUUUGUUAUAGGAGAGAGAGGCCAAAGUCAUGCAGCGAGGCAGUGUGCCUGUACCGUGAGAUGGCCCACACCUACGGCCGGCUGCUGCAGCGCUGGAGGGAUCGAGCAUUAACGGGCCAGUCGGAGGCUCGCCGAGUCCUAGCCGAAAUGCUAACGCCCUCGGGUGGCUGUAGGUGUAACUGUUACCGCUUCAUAUCCUGGGUGACUGGCUCCAGCCCGAGCACCAUUAGCAAGGUUAACGAGCAGAUGAAGAGGACGGGGGGAGAUAGGGAGCCCCCUCCCCACAGACUCAAGCAGCGGAGGAAGGCUCUGGACCCCUGCCCCCCGCCGCAGGCCAUGCUUGUCUCAGCACUGCCCAGCACCAGCGGGGAGAUGACAUCACCUUGUACCAGGCGGCCAGCUGGCACCUUCUCUCCUGCACCGGCUGCUGCUCCAAAAGCUGCAUCCGCUGCUCUGGCUCCCUCCAGCCCCCUGCCGCACAGAGCCCAGGUGAUACGUCCGGUAAAACAUCCUCAGCUGCUGUAAAUCAGAGCAGCUCCAGCAAAGUCAAUGGGACAGUGUUGACUGACUCCCACUGAGGAUUUGGCCCAGUAACCCAGGCAAUUUAAGUGGGGUUAGCCAAGCCAGGAACCAGUGCUAGGAACGCCCUGGUCAUCUUACCCACCAAAGCACAGGCCUUUUGUAAAUGUAAACCCACUGGCCUGGCCAUCUGCGGCUCCCACUGAUACCUCUAGCAGGAGAAGUGUUAGCCCCAGCGCUCUGGGUAACUGUGUCCUCCCUCCCUGGAACUCCCCCUGCAGCCGUGUGCUGUUCAGUAGCUGCCGGCUGCCUCCCCCGGAUGUCGGGAGCGAUCCCUGCUCGCCUGUGCAGAGUACCGGGCUCCGGGGAAGGCAGGUGCUGUGACGGUUGGUCUGUAUUACCAUGUGCCAAGCACGACCGCACAUAGGUUGAGAGGCGCUUCGAGAUCUGCGGCUGGUGGAACGUGCGAUGUAAGGACGGGGGAUUGAUCCUAACCGUCGCCCGGCCCUCCUGUAAUACGUGGUUCGCCCUGCAGGUGUCACCAUGGCAGAGCCCUUAAAGCAGGAGCUCUCAAAGGUUUGUGCUGGUGCCCCCCCUUCACACAGCAAGCCCCUGAGUGCGACCCCCCCCCAUAAAUUACAAACACUUUUGAAUGUAUUUAGCGCCAUUAUAAAUGCUGGAAGCAAAGCGGGGUUUGGGGUGGAGGCUGACAGCUAGCGACCCCCCCCCGCCAUGUAAUAACCUGGAGACCCCCUGCAGGGUCCCAACCCCCCCUUGCCUUAAAGAGAGGAGGCUGAGCUGCUGCUAUUAUCAGCGCUGAAUGACGCCAAGCAGCAGCCAGCCUGGAAGAUGCUUAUGGGGGCGAGACGCGUGCACCUGCCUUACCCUCUAGAGGGCGCCCUGUGUAACUUUCCCUGCAGAUUGAUGGACAUCUUCUCUCCCACCUCUUAGACUGAGCAGCAGCAUCCGCGGGGCCUUGGCUACACUAGGGAUCCAGCCCACCCUGCGCAGCCUUCACCCCUGGCCCAGUCUCCGGCGCGCUCUCAGCUUCUUGGGCCGGACGCUGGGCUCCGUCCAGCCCGUCAGCAGAUGCAGAUUUGCAUCUGCUGCAGCCUCCUUUGAUCCUGAUGGGGGCAAACAAAGGGGCUGCUCCAGGGGGCCGGUUUCCUGGAGGCUGCGUUGCAGGUGCUGAGAGGGGCCUGCUGCCCAACGCAGAACAGAGGCUCCCAUCCCAGCUGGCAGGAGGUGAUGAGACCUCAC